rnacentral:misc_RNA from 1 species
AAGUCGUAACAAGGUAACCGUAGGUGAACCUGCGGUUGGAUCAUUAAAAAUCCAAGAGUAUUGGGUUGCUUGCAAUGCCUUUACUCUAACUGGCCUUUGGGCCUUUAACCUUCUGUGAACUGUUAUUUUAUCUGGUCAUGGUGAAAACUAUGGCUAGUUAUUUUAAACCUAUUUUUAUUGUCUGAUCUUGAAAUUUAAUUUCUACAACUUUUGACAAUGGAUCUCUAGGCUCUC